rnacentral:lncRNA from 1 species
AAUGGAAGCAUUUCUUACCACUCUUAUCUCUAAACUUAAACCUACCCUUCGAUUUUCCUCUGCCCUUCUUACUUUGAAAAUGGUUCUCCCUCGUCUCAUUCCUCCAUCUAGCAAACAAACUCUCUUCUCUUGAGUUACCUCUCGACUAUUUCUUAAGCUCUAGCUCCCUAACCCUCAAAGCAUCAGUCACAAUAUCUUAGCUCAAAGUAUCCCUAGCAUACGUGAUAGAAUUCCUAACAUCUCUAUAAG